GUUUUUUGUGAAGCUGAAAACAUACAAAAUAGAUAGAGGCAGAAAGAAAAACAAAAGUAAAAAACCGCAGAAGGAGUAGCUAUAGGUUUCUUCCUCUGCAUAAGCUCCAUUAACUACCAUAAACAUUCAUCAUUCCUUCAAACCACCACUCACUACCCAAAACAAUAUACAAAAUAAUAUUAGAAUCAUAUGAGAAAGAGUUUUCUUGACCAAACCCUCACGCCAGAUCUCCACCACCGAAACUUGUCACCGCCAAAGCCAUUCUCGACCACUACAAACGCAGAAACACCGCACCACCACGUCACCCCCCGUGGUCGCUUCCACGUCCUCGUCAACGCCGUCGACAAGAUCCGGUUUUUGAGAAACAAGUUGGUAAUUUCUGACAAAUAAUGGCUAACGGCGUUAAAAUUGAUGACGUGGAUGGAGUCGUUGCAUAGUGGAAUGUCUAGUCAGCACAGUCUUCUUCUUCCUUUGUUGCUGAAGCCCGUUCAUGUUUUUCCCCAAAAUCAACCCUAGACGAAAUUGGUUCCCAAAAUCCCAAAUUGAAACUUAAAUUGUUAUCUAAUCAUGAGCUCUAUGCGUGGGUCGUCAUCAUCAAAUAGAAACCGAAGUGAGUCACGGGUAUUUAACACCUCUAAUCUUCCCUGGAAGCCUCUCUGCCGUUGUGGAGACAAUGCGGUUCUUCGUAAGGCAAGAACUGUCAAGAACUAUGGAAAGCUAUUUUGGGGUUGUCAACAUUUUAAGGACACAAUAAUGCUGGUUCUGAAUUUUUUCAAUGAUUAUAUGAAGAAGCUAAAGGUGAAAUUGAGCAAACCUUGAUGAAGGAUCAAUGGAAGUUUGAAGUGCUUAGUGAAGAGAUGGAAGAAGCCAAAAAACAGGUUGAAAUUUUGAGGCUCAAUACUAUGGAAUUAGAGGAUGCUUUGAAGACCACCAUUAGGUGGAAGAAGAUUUGGAAGUUUAUGUUUUAUUUUUGUGUUAUUUGUCUUAGUAGUCAAAAUAUUGUAAAAGAUCUCAAGUUGUUGUGACAGUGGGAGACCUCAAGUUGUUGUUCUAUUUUGUUUUAAGUUUAUGUUCUAUUUUGUGACAGUGAUAAACCUCAAGUUGUUGUUCUAUUUUGUUUUAGUAAUCAAAAUGUUGUAUUCUUU